GGGGAACUGAAACAUCUAAGUACCCGUAGGAAAAGAAAAUAAAAAUGAUUCCCAAAGUAGUGGCGAGCGAAAUCGGAAGAGCCUUCUAGUGAUAGCACGACUGUUAGCAAAACGGAAUGGAAAGUUCGGCCAUAGCAGGUGAUAGCCCUGUAUGCGAAAACAGACGUGUGGUACUAAGUUAGAGAAAAGUAGGGCGGGACACGAGAAAUCCUGUCUGAAUAUGGGGGGACCAUCCUCCAAGGCUAAAUACUCGUAAUCGACCGAUAGUGAACCAGUACCGUGAGGGAAAGGCGAAAAGAACCCCGGGAGGGGAGUGAAAUAGAUCCUGAAACCGCAUGCUUACAAAAAGUAGGAGCCCGCAAGGGUGACUGCGUACCUUUUGUAUAAUGGGUCAGCGACUUACAUUCAGUGGCAAGGUUAACCGAAUAGGGAAGCCGUAGAGAAAUCGAGUCCGAAUAGGGCGAAUCAGUCGCUGGGUGUAGACCCGAAACCAAGUGAUCUAUCCAUGGCCAGGAUGAAGGUGCCGUAACAGGUACUGGAGGUCCGAACCCACUAAUGUUGCAAAACUAGGGGAUGAGCUGUGGAUAGGGGUGAAAGGCUAAACAAACCUGGAAAUAGCUGGUUCUCUCCGAAAACUAUUUAGGUAGUGCCUCAAGUAUUACCUUCGGGGGUAGAGCACUGUUUAGGCUAGGGGGUCAUGGCGACUUACCAAACCUAUGCAAACUCCGAAUACCGCAGAGUACAGCUUGGGAGACAGAGCACCGGGUGCUAACGUCCGGACUCAAGAGGGAAACAACCCAGACCGCCAGCUAAGGUCCCUAAAAUUGGCUAAGUGGGAAACGAAGUGGGAAGGCUAAAACAGUCAGGAUGUUGGCUUAGAAGCAGCCAUCAUUUAAAGAAAGCGUAAUAGCUCACUGAUCGAGUCGUCCUGCGCGGAAGAUGUAACGGGGCUAAGCCAGUUACCGAAGCUGCGGAUGUGCAAUUUAUUGCACGUGGUAGGAGAGCGUUCUGUAGGCCUGUGAAGGUGUCUGGUAACGGAUGCUGGAGGUAUCAGAAGUGCGAAUGCUGACAUGAGUAGCGUUAAAGGGGGUGAAAAGCCCCCUCGCCGUAAGCGCAAGGUUUUCUACGCAACGUUCAUCGGCGUAGAGUGAGUCGGCCCCUAAGGCGAGGCAGAGAUGCGUAGCUGAUGGGAAACAGGUCAAUAUUCCUGUACCGAUCAAUAGUGCGAUGUGGGGACGGAGAAGGUUAGCUCAGCCAACUGUUGGAUAUGUUGGUUCAAGCCUGUAGUCGUGCCUGGUAGGCAAAUCCGCCGGGCUUAGAUGAGGGGUGAUAACGAGUCUGCUUGCAGACGAAGUGAGUGAUACCCUGCUUCCAGGAAAAGCCACUAAGCUUCAGCUAUUGACGACCGUACCGCAAACCGACACUGGUGCGCGAGAUGAGUAUUCUAAGGCGCUUGAGAGAACUCAGGAGAAGGAACUCGGCAAAUUGA
rnacentral:rRNA from 1 species